GUGUGUGUGUGUGUGUGUAUGUUUGGUCUAAGAUCAAGUGUAAGUAGUCUCUUGGCCUAUCCAAGGCCGUGAUCAAAUGUCUUGAUGUUUUUGGUCUUUUGG